UACGUAGGGGGCAAGCGUUAUCCGGAUUUAUUGGGUUUAAAGGGUGCGUAGGCGGGCUUUUAAGUCAGCGGUAAAAAUUCGGGGCUCAACCCCGUCCGGCCGUUGAAACUGGGGGCCUUGAGUGGGCGAGAAGAAGGCGGAAUGCGUGGUGUAGCGGUGAAAUGCAUAGAUAUCACGCAGAACCCCGAUUGCGAAGGCAGCCUUCCGGCGCCCUACUGACGCUGAGGCACGAAAGUGCGGGGAUCGAACAGG
rnacentral:rRNA from 1 species